rnacentral:rRNA from 1 species
GAUGAACGCUGGCGGCGUGCCUAAUACAUGCAAGUCGAGCGAACGGACGAGAAGCUUGCUUUUCUGAUGUUAGCGGCGGACGGGUGAGUAACACGUGGAUAACCUACCUAUAAGACUGGGAUAACUUCGGGAAACCGGAGCUAAUACCGGAUAAUAUUUUGAACCGCAUGGUUCAAAAGUGAAAGACGGUCUUGCUGUCACUUAUAGAUGGAUCCGCGCUGCAUUAGCUAGUUGGUAAGGUAACGGCUUACCAAGGCAACGAUGCAUAGCCGACCUGAGAGGGUGAUCGGCCACACUGGAACUGAGACACGGUCCAGACUCCUACGGGAGGCAGCAGUAGGGAAUCUUCCGCAAUGGGCGAAAGCCUGACGGAGCAACGCCGCGUGAGUGAUGAAGGUCUUCGGAUCGUAAAACUCUGUUAUUAGGGAAGAACAUAUGUGUAAGUAACUGUGGCCAUCUUGACGGUACCUAAUCAGAAAGCCCCGGCUAACUACGUG